UACAGAGGUCCCGAGCGUUGUUCGGAUUCACUGGGCGUAAAGGGUGCGUAGGUGGCCUAAAAAGUUUGAUGUGAAAGCUCAGGGCUUAACCCUGAAAUGGCAUUGAAUACUGUUGGGCUGGAGGUUUGGAGGGGGGACUGGAAUUCUUGGUGUAGCAGUGAAAUGCGUAGAUAUCAAGAGGAACACCAGUGGCGAAGGCGAGUCCCUGGACAACACCUGACACUGAGGCACGAAAGCUAGGGGAGCAAACAGG
rnacentral:rRNA from 2 species